GCAUUUUAUGGUUUGAACCAGGUCACUAUAGUACGUGUCAGACCGCUGUGACAUUUAAAGUUUUAUUUGACACUCCUUUUUGGUACAUUGAUAUCUGGAUCAAGUCCGGAAGCAGUCCAGAUUUUGGAGCUUAAAGUCAGGAAAUCAGGGUUUGUUAUGCGAUUUUCAAGGCUCGUAGCGAUUUGUGUUGUCCUUUUAGCAUGGCUUUUAUUCGUUGAUUGCAAUGAAGUAGUUUACAACGUUCCUGUACAUGUUCCAAACAAAAAGGAUGCACGGAUCAGAACGUACGUUUAUGCUAUUCUAAUUGCCGUCGUUGCUGGAAAUGCGAUUUUAGGGACCCGACAAAACACGGGAGCAGAUGUCACCGUUGUGCAUGGUGGUGGUAAUGGUAAUGGCGGCCCCUCGAUUACUGGAUAGAUAAAAUAGAUAUGCGAGGUAGCUUUUUUACACAGCAAAACCAUUUGAUACAAUUCAAAGGUAGUAAAUGCAAUAAAACAUCCUUGAAGUAUCUAAUAACAAAGAAUUAUUUUCUGAAAUAAAAGUAUUAAAACAUUCAUAUCCUCACAUUAUUAUACUUUACGCAUGCGCAUAGAUAUUUUUGCUGAAAAAAGAAAUUUCUUCAUUUGUUUAAAGACUAGUUUUUCUUUUAGCAACAACGAAAACAUCUUUACUUUUUGAUACAAUUCUCAAACUCUCAAAAAUAAUGUUACGGAUUGGUUAUUUUCACACUAUCUGUAA